rnacentral:rRNA from 1 species
GACGAACGCUGGCGGCGUGCUUAACACAUGCAAGUCGAACGGAAAGGCCCUGCUCUUGUGGGGUGCUCGAGUGGCGAACGGGUGUGUAACACGUGAGUAACCUGCCCUUGACUUUGGGAUAACUUUAGGAAACUGGGGCUCAUAUCGGAUAGGAGAUCCUGCUGCAUGGUGGGGGUUGGAAAGUUUCGGCGGUUGGGGAUGGUCUCGCUGCUUAUCAGCUUGAUGGUGGGGUAGUGGCUUUCCAAGGCUUUGACGGGUAGGCGGCCUGAGAGGGUGACCGGCGACAUUGGGACUGCGAGACGGACCAGACUCCUACGGGCGGCAGCGGGAGGGAAUAUUGCGCAAUGGGCGGGAGCCAGAUGCAGCGACGCCGCGUGCGGGAUGACGGCCUUCGGGUGGUAAACCAAUUUCGCAGGUGACAAAGCGGGAGUGACGGUAAUGGGUAAGGAAGCAACGGCUAACUACGUG